CCUACGGGUGGCAGCAGUGAGGAAUAUUGGUCAAUGGACGAGAGUCUGAACCAGCCAAGUAGCGUGAAGGAUGACUGCCCUAUGGGUUGUAAACUUCUUUUAUAUGGGAAUAAAAUGUUCCACGUGUGGGAUUUUGUCUGUACCAUAUGAAUAAGGAUCGGCUAACUCCGUGCCAGCAGCCGCGGUAAUACGGAGGAUCCGAGCGUUAUCCGGAUUUAUUGGGUGUAAAGGGAGCGUAGGUGGAUUGUUAAGUCAGUUGUGAAAGUUUGCGGCUCAACCGUAAAAUUGCAGUUGAAACUGGCAGUCUUGAGUACAGUAGAGGUGGGCGGAAUUCGUGGUGUAGCGGUGAAAUGCUUAGAUAUCACGAAGAACUCCGAUUGCGAAGGCAGUUCACUGGACUGCAACUGACACUGAGGCUCGAAAGUGUGGGUAUCAAACAGGAUUAGAUACCCCUGUAGUC
rnacentral:rRNA from 1 species